rnacentral:rRNA from 1 species
UGCAAGUCGAGCGAACUUGAUGGGAGCUUGCUCCCUAAUAGAUAGCGGCGGACGGGUGAGUAGAGCGUGGGAAACCUGCCUGUAAGACUGGGAUACCUCCGGGAAACCGGGGCUAAUACCGGAUAACUUUUUUCUUCGCAUGAAGGAGAAUUGAAAGACGGCUUUAAGCUACCACUUACAGAUGGCCCCGCGGCCCAUUACCUAGUUGGUGAGGUAACUCUUCACCAAGGCGACGAUGCGUAGCCAAUUUGAGAGGGU